rnacentral:rRNA from 1 species
UCGGAAUGAGUACACUUUAAAUCCUUUAACAAGGAUCCAUUGGAGGGCAAGUCUGGUGCCAGCAGCCGCGGUAAUUCCAGCUCCAAUAGCGUAUAUUAAAGUUGUUGCGGUUAAAAAGCUCGUAGUUGGUUCUGCGUGCCGCGCUGUCGGUUCGCCGCCUGUCGGUGUAACUGGCAUGUCGCGGCAUGUCCUGUCGGUGGUGAACGGGAUUCCCGGUGCAGCUAAGGCUUUACAGCCGAAGUUGGUGCCGUGCGAAUGCCGUUUGCCGAUCUCUCCUACUCCGGUGCUCUUAAACGAGUGUCGAGGUAGGCCGACACGUUCACUUUGAACAAAUUAGAGUGCUUAAAGCAGGCUGAAAUAUCUGCCUGAAUAGUGGUGCAUGGAAUGAUAAAAUAGGACCUCGGUUCUAUUUUGUUGGUUUUAGGAAUGUGAGGUAAUGAUCAAUGUGGACUGGCGGGGGCAUUCGUAUUGCGACGUUAGAGGUGAAAUUCUUGGAUCGUCGCAAGACGCACUAAAGCGAAAGCAUUUGCCAAGUAUGUCUUAAUUGAUCAAGAACGAAAGUUAGAGGUUCGAAGGCGAUCAGAUACCGCCCUAGUUCUAACCAUAAACGAUGCCAGCCAGCGAUCCGCCGAUGUUCCAUUAAUGACUCGGCGGGGAGCUUCCACCCGGGAAACCAAAGCUUUUGGGUUCCGGGGGAAGUAUGGUUGCAAAGCUGAAACU